GGCUGCAUGGUGUAAUGGUUAGCACUUCAGAUUCUGACAACUGGUUUAUUCUGGUAACCCCGGUUCGAUUCCGGGUGCGGCCU